GAUGAACGCUAGCUACAGGCUUAACACAUGCAAGUCGAGGGGUAACGAGAGGAAAGCUUGCUUUCCUUGUCGACGACCGGCGCACGGGUGAGUAAUGCGUAUCCAACCUGCCCCCAACUAGGGAAUAACCUUGCGAAAGUAAGACUAAUACCCUAUAAUUUCCUCAGAUGUCAUCUGACGAGGAAUAAAGAUUUAUCGGUUGUGGAUGGGGAUGCGUCUGAUUAGCUUGUUGGCAGGGUAACGGCCCACCAAGGCAACGAUCAGUAGGGGUUCUGAGAGGAAGGUCCCCCACAUUGGAACUUAGACACGGUCCAAACUCCUACGGGAGGCAGCAGUGAGGAAUAUUGGUCAAUGGGCGGAAGCCUGAACCAGCCAAGUAGCGUGCAGGAUGACGGCCCUAUGGGUUGUAAACUGCUUUUAUACAGGAAUAAAGUUAGCCACGUGUGGUUAUUUGUAGGUACUGUAUGAAUAAGGACCGGCUAAUUCCGUGCCAGCCGCCGCCGUAA
rnacentral:rRNA from 1 species